GACGAACGCUGGCGGCGUGCUUAACACAUGCAAGUCGAGCGGAGCGGCGAACGGGUGAGUGACGCGUGAGUAAAUGCCCCCCUCUCUGGGAUAACAGUUGGAAACGGCUGCUAAUACCGGAUAGUGUGGGAUGACUCGCGGCCUAUCAGCUUGUUGGUGGGGUAGUGGCCUACAAAGGCGACGACGGGUAGCCGGCCUGAGAGGGCGACAGGCCACAUUGGGCUCAGAUAGGGGCCAAACUGCUACGUGAGGAAGCGGUGGAGAAUAUUGCACAAUGGGGGAAACCCUGAUGCAGCAACGCGCGUGCGGGAGGACGGCCGUCGGGUUGUAAACCGCUUACAGCCAGAACGCGGUAGUGGCAGAAGAAGCACCGGCUAACUACGUGCCAGCAGCCGCGGUAAUAC
rnacentral:rRNA from 1 species